UAGUUUAAUUGGCAACCAGACACACCUGGUGUGCAUUUCCUCCCAGCAUAGGGAAGAUCUCAGUUGAGAUCUCCCUCCUGUCCUGAUUGUGCUGCAGCUCACUGUUUCUGCUGAGGUGUUGUUAAUUUAUUCAUCCUCAAGCCUUGAGAGAAGUGCUCGUCCAGGUGUUACCUGGACGAACCACCAGGUGGUUUUGUGAUGCCCAAAGGGCUGGUCCCUGCUGUUUUGCCUUACUAGUUUUGCCUAUUUUGCUUGGUUAUUUUGCUUUUGUAGAAUUUUGUCUUAAUUGAGUUUUCUUGUUUGACAGAUUUACUUGAAUUGUUAAACUUAACUUAAUAAACUUGUUAAUCUCUUGUCCUCAUAACAGCUUCCUUAUUUAUUAGUACCUUUUCCAAUAAAGCAUUCUUAUGAACUUGAAA